UACAGAGGGGGCAAGCGUUAUUCGGAAUUAUUGGGCGUAAAGGGCGCGUAGGCGGCUUGGCAAGUGGAAGGUGAAAUCCCUCGGCUCAACUGAGGAACUGCCUUCCAGACUGCUUGCUUGAGUCCGGGAGAGGUGAGUGGAAUUCCCAGUGUAGCGGUGAAAUGCGUAGAUAUUGGGAGGAACACCAGUGGCGAAGGCGGCUCACUGGACCGGAACUGACGCUGAGGCGCGAAAGCGUGGGGAGCAAACAGG
rnacentral:rRNA from 1 species